GUCACAGGUAAGCCGCAAUUAUUAAGAGAUUAAAAUGUCUCAAAUGUCUCUUUAGUGUAAGAACAAUUUGUUAUUUUAAUCUUUGUCAUACAGCCCUAAUAAAUAUUUAGUUUUGCAGCAAAUAAUUAAAAAUACAAAUAAAUGUUACCUUUAAAACACAAAUAAAAGGAAUUUAACUAUUUAUGAAGCCAUUCCUAAUUGAAUUGAUCCACUGAACCAAAUUCAUAGAUUUGAUGUAAAACUUAAAUUAAAAAUACAUUAUUUACUGAAAAUAAAUGAUCCACUGAGAGCAUUGGUUAUGAAUUUCAUAGUUCAUAAGUGAUAACUUUACAGUCUUGUGUCAGGCAAGAACAGCAAUUUUAAAGUGCACUUUGGAUUUUGACACUGACCUGAAUUUCUGCUAUAAUACAGUUCAAAAAAUGACAGAAUAUGGAACUGUUUAUAUGUGCUGAACUGAGUUGAACUCUUUCAAUGGAACAACUUGUUUUCUUUAGUAAAGAGGAGAAAACAUACUAUGGAGAUCAAUGGUGAACCAAAACAGCUUGGUUACAAACUUUCUUUAAAAUAUCUUUUCGACUAAACAGGUUUAGAACUACUUGAAAAUGACAGAAUUUUCAUUUUCUUUUAAGUUUGCUUAUACAAAUAAACUACAGAGUAACAUGCACUCUUAAAAAUAAAGGCACUUAAAAAGUUCUUCACAGUGACGUCAUAGAAGAACCAUUUUUGGUUCCACAGAAAACCAAUAAGUGAAAGGUUCUUUAAAGAACCGUUUUUUUACCUUUUUAUAAUCUGAAAAACCUUCUUUCGCCACAAAGAACCAUUUGUGAAACGCAAAGGUUCUUCAUUUAACCAUUUACAUAAAAAAGGUUAUUCUAUGGCAUUGUGUGCAUUGAGUGUACAGUAAAAAUUAACACACGACUAUAUAACAUAUGACAAGAGUGUACAGUAAUUACUAACACAUGACCACGUAAUGCAUAACGAAGAUAUAACCAAAAACAAUUACAAACCAUUAAUUCCUCCUUUGGAUUAUGCAGUAAACUUUUUAAAUAAUUAUGAGACACCAGGUUUUGUAAAUUCAUCAAAAGGUUAUUGCAACUUUUAAAUAAGAUUCUAAUCUAAAGUCUUUUGAAUUUAAUAAAAAACUGAAAAAAUAAAUCUUAAACAAUAAAUCUGGCUCUAGUAAUAAUAUGUCGCCAUCUACAGUAUCACAGGUCAUUGAUCAAUAUCAAUAAAAACACAAGCACCUACUAAAAUGAUUUAAGUACAAAAAGACAGGUAUAAAACUGCAGUUAAAAGAUCUUUCAUCAUGCAUGUUAUACAGUGAAAUCUAAGGGGAUGUAAUAAUAAUAAAUUCAAACAGCUUUUAAAGGCACUUUUGGUAAAAGUGAUUUAAAAAAAGCCAAUGACAUCUACUUUCCAAAGGUCUGAUUUGGGUUAUUUAUUGAGUUGAUGAUAAAUUGUGUUUGUCCAGUAAUAGAUCACCAGUCCAAAGGUAAAUCAUCUGGGUCUCUUCUUUUAAAUCCAAAUCCACUGCAUUUCUGACACCUGAAAGGUAAAGAGUUCAGAUCUCAUCACCGCCGGAUCCACAGACUCUUUCUGGAGCUUUGACCAGCUCCGUAACCAUUUGUGAGACCAUUAUGGCUGCUAUAAACAGCUCAAUUAAGGCAUAAAAGAGCACACGUCUAACACAACAUACAUCAAAUCUUACAUAAGAAACCUUGAUGUGUCCCUGCACAGAAAAACAAAAGUGUAUCUGGAUUACAAUCAGCCAUCAAAAUGAUUUGUUGACAUUUAAUUAUUCUAGCUAUAAUUAGUUAAACUAGUUAAUUAAAGUAGGCUAUAAUUAAACGAUGCGCCUCCAGCGAAAACCUCCACCAAAUGAGGCCGUAGGACAGCUUCUUUAUGUUUACAGACGUGACGUAAUGAUGCAGUGCCAUGCCGGGAUUUCCCACGAAAACCCACCCGUACCACUCAAAAUAAAAAAUAUCAUUGUAAGCUAAUCGUUGUGAAUUGAGGUAAAGUAAGGCAAUGGUUUUGAACACUGGCUGGUUAUGUACUUGCUCAAAUAUUGAUUUUGGAUAAUUGUUAACCAAAAAAAUGUUACAGACUGCAGCUUUAAAGAUCAAAAGGAUCUUUGCACAUACACUCAUAUACACAUUUUUCUCAUUGUCAUACCAACUUUACAUUGACAAUAUCAAACCAUUUUUAAAAACGUAAAAAGAUUUAUUGCUGACAUUUUAUUGCUGUGGUUUAAACGUUAUUUAAAAUAAUGUGUGACGUUGUCCAUUUGUCAGGGUGUGGUUUGCGAGAGAAGGAGCGCUAGACGAGAAUGCUACAAACAUAAAGCUUCCAAACACAAAAGAAACAAUAUCCUUACAAAUAGGCAGGCAGAAAAUAACCACACAUAUAAACGACGACCGGACAAACUGAACUGAAACACACAGGGAAUAAAUACACAAAGUAAUUGACUAAAUUAACAAGACACACCUGAGCAUAAUGAGACAAUUAGGAGCAACGAAAAAGUAGGGCACACAGAGCACAUGGGACAAAUCAAAACAACAACAAAAGAGUCCAAAGACGUGACACCAUUAAACAAUAGUAAGGAAGUGAACCCAGAAAUAUAUGUGUGACAUGAACAAGUUACAUCAAAUGUAUUUGCAUUGCUUAUAUGUUGCUCAAAUUAUUGUGCAUAUCAUCUUUCAUUAGAAAAUGAUGACAACGGCAGCAGCAUUAUGGAUGGAAGAUCCAAUUCAAGCGGUGAUGUGUCUGCAGUAGACACCAAAUAAUGAAGCGACUUUAAGUCAUGCAGUUGAUGUGAGAAACGGUUCUUCAGCUGCCAUCCGUCCUGGUUUCCCUGUCUCAGGCAGAAGACCACCGGCUGGCACUUUGAGUGAUCUGAGGGUAAUCGUGAGAGCGUCUCCACCAGGUCCAUGCCCGCAGACCUCCCUAGGUGGAGAGGGCGGUUGUGGUGCACUUGUGCCCACAAAACACAUCCGGGGGCAAUCGUCCACGUCUCCCUUCCCGGCCCUGUAGGACCACGGUAGCUCUCAGUGCUAAGGCUUACACUGCAGCUGGUCAGGCUGCUUUUGCCUUGCAUGCCACGGCUAUCCUGCAGGACCAGCAAGUCAAGGCACUGAAACAGCUGCAUGAGGGUGAGUCUGACCCGCGGUUGAUGCAGGAACUGCGCACGGCGACCGACUUUGCCCUCUGGGCAAUGAAGAUCAUGGCAAGGUGCCUUGGGAAGGCGAUGUUCACUUUAGCAACCCAGGAGCGCACUUAUGGCUCAAUCUGGUGGAAAUGAAGGACGUCGAGAAGGUCCGCUUUCUUGAAACCCCGAUCUCUCAGGCUGGGCUAUUCGGCGACACUGUCGAGGACUUCAACGGCAGGCCAAGGCGAUCCAGCACAUCUUUUAGGCGUGUCUCUUUAGCUGCCAGUGUUGAGUCCAGUCGCCCCGUGCUGAGACCUAGUCGAGGUCGGCACAUCGAGCCUCCCGCAGUAAGGUUCACAGCUGACCUCUAAGUCCUCUAGGAAGAUGACGAAGAAGCCCAGGGAUGGGCGGCCCGGAGAGGCAAUAGACUGCUUUUCAGGAGGUGGGGAGCUCAGUAGCACUCUUUCCCUCGGAGGAGGGCCGUGUGGAGAAUCCUUGGAUUACAGG